CCUGGUCUGGAACGGACACAACAAAUAAUAUGUAAAAACAACUACGAGGUUACAACUGCAGAAUGUGAGUGACUAUAAGGUGUGACAAAGAAAAGAUCAAACAAUGAGUGUGAACAUAUGUUUGAACUUUGACAUGUGAGUCACCAGUCAAACAUAACAAGCCUUUCUUUGGUUUCAUGUUACUGGAUCGACGGUCAAACAGGAUUUUCAUGUGUCCGUGUGCAGAACAGGACGUGCAAUCUUUAGAUCAGCAGCGAGGGACAAGCUCCGGCUGUUCCGCUCAGAUAUGGGAGUGCCACUUUUCUGCGGUUAAGUGAGCAGUCCAGGAGAAGAGAGUGAAAAGUAGAAGAAGAGAAGAAAGCAGAGCUGGUGGUAAACACUCACCGUGUCUCUGGGCAUGUGGGAGAAAGACGGAGCUAAACGAAUGGCUCUCAUCGACGCCUCCAGUUGGUGAGAGGGCAGGAAGAAAUUAGGAACCUCCACGGCGACGGAGCUUAAUGCAUAAUGUUAAACAAAAGAGGACGCAGUGUAUAGACGGAGCAAGAUGGAAGCAGAUUUUUUUGACUGUGUUUGACUGUGGCGUUCGGUGGAGUGACCAUCCGUUGGUGCAUUCAAGAGAGGAACUGUUAGCAUUGUCCGUGCUGUCCCCUGUGAUGUCCGAAGCGAGGAGGUUCAGGCCAGCGAUACCAUCUGCCCUCAUGGGGAACGUGAGGUCUUUGGCAGGAAGAUGGGACGAACCGUGUGCGUUCGCUGGGACCAGAGGGAGAGAAGUGUUUGGUGUCUGACGGAGACCUGGCUGCAUGUGGACUUCCCGGACCACAGUGCAUCUGUGCCCUCAGUGGACAAGGCAACAGCAUGAGUGUCGAUCCACACCACUGUUGCCAAGCAACAGUCCAAACAACCGGAUCACCUUCGACACCGUUUUGCCACUAGGAUAGAAAUUCUGUAAAGAUUUUGCUUAGACAAUUUUCUAUUUUACUUUACUAAAUAACACUUAUAUUUUAAUCUAAUUUUAUUUUACAUUUCUUUUUACUUCUGGUUAGAGUGUUUUUUAUGUGCAACUAAGCUACUGUGAUUUUCCCCUGAGGAUCAUUAAAGUCUAACACACCUGUUAUCUGCGUCCAAAAUGUACAACAAUGAAUGUUUAACUGUAUAAGGACUUUAUAUAAAUAGUGGAGGCAGCAGCAGAAAGACUUAACGCCAUUAGUUGCCUCCUUUUAUGGUUAAGAUAAACAGUAGACUGUGUCCACAUUAAAACUCUCAGUCAGCUGCCAAAAAUGCAGCUGCCAAGAAAAAACUUUUACAUGUGAUGUACCAACUGAGACAUGAAAUGGUUUGGCCUCUCUAAGAUUAACACAAAAUCAUUUUUACAUGUUGCCUGAUGGUGUCAGAGCCUCAGAUGUUAAAUAGAAACUCUUGAUUGGG